GUCUGCUUAGCUCAGUGGGAGAGCGACGGUCUGAAGUUCUACUCCUUAGAAACGGAUACCGCAGGUCGGGUGUUCAAUCCACCCAGCGGACA